rnacentral:rRNA from 1 species
AGUUCAAGAGUACGUGAAACUGCUUAGAGGUUAAGCCCGAUGAACCUGAAUAUCCGUUAUGGAAAAUUCAUCAUUAAUAUUAUAAUAUUUAUCAUAUUAUAAAAAUAGUGUGCAAUUUUUCCAUAUAAGGACAUUGUAAUCUGUUAAUGUUAUAAAUAUUUAUCAUAAGAUCCAAUAUAUUAGUUCAUUUAAAUUAUUUAUUUUCGGAUUUUUAACAUAGAAUGAAUUUAUUGGAUUUGAUAAAUCAUUGACAGAUUAAAUUGUAUAUAGUGCGUAAAUUUUUCGGAAUUUUACAAUUUUAAAUUUAUCUAUUGAUUUUUUUAUUAUUGUAUGCACUUAUAUGAUUAACAAUGCGAUAGAUUCAGGAUACCUUCGGGACCCGUCUUGAAACACGGACCAAGGAGUCUAACAUAUGUGCAAGUCAUUGGGUAUUUUUAAUAAAACCCAAUGGCGUAAUUAACUUAACUGUUUAAAAUGGGAUUAGUUUAUAUUUUAUUAUGAAAUAUUAAUUCAAUCCCGGGGCGUUCUAUAUAGUUAUGCAUAAUGAUAUUUAUAUUAUUUAUGUCUCUAACUAGAGCGUACCUUGAGCAUAUAUGCUGUGACCCGAAAGAUGGUGA